UUGACCUCGGAUCAGGUAGGGAUACCCGCUGAACUUAAGCAUAUCAAUAAACGGAGGAA
rnacentral:rRNA from 1 species